rnacentral:rRNA from 1 species
UUAAGUUAAUAAGGGCGCACGGUGGAUGCCUUGGCACUAGAAGCCGAAGAAGGACGUGACAAACGACGAAAUGCUUUGGGGAGCUGUAAGUAAGCGACGAUCCAGAGAUGUCCGAAUGGGGGAACCCACUAGCUAAUGGCUAGUACUCCUAUCUGUUAAGGAUAGGUAGAGGAAGACGCAGUGAACUGAAACAUCUAAGUAGCUGCAGGAAGAGAAAGCAAAAGCGAUUGCCUUAGUAGCGGCGAGCGAAACGGCAAGAGGGCAAACCGAAGAGUUUACUCUUCGGGGUUGUAGGACUGCAACGUGGACUUAAAGAUUAUAGAAGAAUGACAUGGGAAGGUCAGCCAAAGAGAGUAAGAGCCUCGUAUUCGAAAUAGUCUUUAUACCUAGCAGUAUCCUGAGUACGGCGGGACACGAGAAAUCCCGUCGGAAUCUGGGAGGACCAUCUCCCAACCCUAAAUACUCUCUAGUGACCGAUAGUGAACCAGUACCGUGAGGGAAAGGUGAAAAGCACCCCGGGAGGGGAGUGAAAUAGAACCUGAAACCGUGUGCCUACAACAAGUUCGAGCCCGUUAAUGGGUGAGAGCGUGCCUUUUGUAGAAUGAACCGGCGAGUUACGAUAUGAUGCGAGGUUAAGUUGAAGAGACGGAGCCGUAGGGAAACCGAGUCUUAAUAGGGCGCAUUAGUAUUAUGUCGUAGACCCGAAACCAUGUGACCUACCCAUGAGCAGGUUGAAGGUGAGGUAAAACUCACUGGAGGACCGAACCAGGGCACGUUGAAAAGUGCUUGGAUGACUUGUGGGUAGCGGAGAAAUUCCAAACGAACUUGGAGAUAGCUGGUUCUCUCCGAAAUAGCUUUAGGGCUAGCGUCGAUGUUAAGUCUCUUGGAGGUAGAGCACUGUUUGGGUGAGGGGUCCAUCCCGGAUUACCAAUCUCAGAUAAACUCCGAAUGCCAAUGAGAUAUAAUCGGCAGUCAGACUGCGAGUGCUAAGAUCCGUAGUCGAAAGGGAAACAGCCCAGACCACCAGCUAAGGUCCCAAAAUAAUUGUUAAGUGGAAAAGGAUGUGGGGUUGCACAGACAACUAGGAUGUUAGCUUAGAAGCAGCUAUUCAUUCAAAGAGUGCGUAAUAGCUCACUAGUCGAGUGACCCUGCGCCGAAAAUGUACCGGGGCUAAAACAUAUUACCGAAGCUGUGGAUACCUUUAUAGGUAUGGUAGGAGAGCGUUCUAUGUGCGAAGAAGGUGUACCGUGAGGAGUGCUGGAGCGCAUAGAAGUGAGAAUGCCGGUAUGAGUAGCGAAAGACAGGUGAGAAUCCUGUCCACCGUAAGACUAAGGUUUCCAGGGGAAGGCUCGUCCGCCCUGGGUUAGUCGGGACCUAAGGAGAGACCGAAAGGUGUAUCCGAUGGACAACAGGUUGAUAUUCCUGUACUAGAGUAUAUAGUGAUGGAGGGACGCAGUAGGCUAACUAAACCAGACGAUUGGAAGUGUCUGGCCAAGCAGUGAGGUGUGAUAUGAGUCAAAUGCUUAUAUCUAUAACAUUGAGCUGUGAUGGGGAGCGAAGUUUAGUAGCGAAGUUAGUGAUGUCACACUGCCGAGAAAAGCUUCUAGCGUUAAUUAUACUCUACCCGUACCGCAAACCGACACAGGUAGUCGAGGCGAGUAGCCUCAGGUGAGCGAGAGAACUCUCGUUAAGGAACUCGGCAAAAUGGCCCCGUAACUUCGGGAGAAGGGGCGCUGACUUAUGGUCAGCCGCAGUGAAUAGGCCCAAGCAACUGUUUAUCAAAAACACAGCUCUCUGCUAAAUCGAAAGAUGACGUAUAGGGGGUGACGCCUGCCCGGUGCUGGAAGGUUAAGAGGAGUGCUUAGCGUAAGCGAAGGUAUGAAUUGAAGCCCCAGUAAACGGCGGCCGUAACUAUAACGGUCCUAAGGUAGCGAAAUUCCUUGUCGGGUAAGUUCC